CACUUGCUUCCUUUUGAGAUGACGAGCAAAAUGUCACUUUUAGUGUGCUUGUUCUUGGUGGUAGUUCAAACCAAAGCUGAAUUACAAUGGAUGUUUGGCCAAUUCUUCGGUUCAAGAGGUUGGCUGGUGGCUGAAAUGGUUUGUUCCCUGGUUUCAUUGGAUGUUAGGGUUAUCAGAAACCACAAUAAAAAACUUGGUCUCGUCAUCCUUGGUGGCAGUUCUACAAACAGCUAAAAUUGCAUCGUGGAUCUUCAGUAGAUUCCAAGAUUGAGUGGGUGGACUUGGAUGUGGAAUGCUUGCAAAUCUACCACUGGAGUUCAUCUAAGUUGGUAAUUUAUCAUUUUCAAUUUAAAGUGAAAUUUUUCGGAAAGUGAUGAUACAUGGGUGGUUCGCUAAAUUUGUAAUGAUAUUAAUGAUUAAAAUAACUCCUCGCAGUCUGAUGUGGACCUGCUGAUUGGUUCGACGGUUUGCUUAGGUAUAAGACAUUAAUUUUUUUUCUAUUUUGUCCAGAUGGCUUCUGCUCGUUGUUCCUUCCUAUUCUGUAUCAAGGUGCUUCAGUUACAGAUUCAAUUUCGGUGGAUCGUAUCAUGGGUCUUUAUCCACUUCGUUGCUUUGAUGAGGUGCAGACACCUGGUUAACUUGAAAAAAUUACUUGGGUCAAAUCUCUUACGUUAACUCUCCUUUUCAGCUAAUGUUGUCUGAUAAAAUUGUUUUGGUAGUUGGGCCGGUUGAUGUUUGCCCAUCUCCGCAGGACGUCAUGCCAAGGGAAUACAUGCUCAAGAAACGUGAGCUGGACCUUUCCUGGGCAACGGACACAAAGAGUAAGUUAUUGUUACUAGAACAAUCGCCAAUGAUUCCAGUUCGCACAUUUAAAUCUGCAGGCCAACGCGGACGAGUACCAUCAGCAAACAAUUCACGAAAUGUGAAGAACUUUCUUCGUUCGUGUUGGGUUUUGGUCGAUCUACCAGCUGCGAAACAUCUUUACAAUGUGUUAAAGACAGAAGAUAGUUUUGGUAGUUUUACAUAAAAAAAAUAUAUAAUCGACUCAUUUAAAGAAAAUUAUAUAAAACGAUUUAACGAUUAAGUUAUGCUACAUUGUUUCACUAAGUAAUCGGAGUUAUAGCGGUUACAGUUAUUAAAAUUCCGAUUGUUUCAAAAAUAGCUUGUUCGAUAAAACAUUCCUUUUUCGAAGUCAGUGUUAGAUUUUAAACAUUACAUGGUUUUCACCGAUUUAUAAGAGAUAUUUUUCUACUGAUUCACAAAUUUGGUAGGGUGUAUAGCUUUCCCACUUUCAUUUUUAUUUUUUACUAAAUUUUUAGUCAAGCAUCGUAUUUAUGAUAAGGCUUCAUUCAGCAUUUUUUUUUUAUUUCGAAAAUAAUUUUGAUUAAGGAUUACUAUGACAAAAGGUAUAAGGUUGAUAUUUACUUGAAAAAUAUUUCCUUUUCUCAAAAACUAGAUGAGGAAAAUUAUGUAAAAUUGAGAAAUUCAAUGAUUUGUUAUAGAUGAAUCUUUCUCCUCCAUGUAUUACACUGUACUUUUUUAAAAUCCGAAAACCAUAUAUCAGAUGAACUGCUUUCGAGGUUGCAAUGAAAAAACAGUGAAAAUUAUUAGAUAAUAAUAUUCAAUUAUAUCCUUGCAGGUGAAGUGGUUAAAAUGGUCAUUGUGCUUGCAUAUCCAUGUGUUGUAUUGUACUCCUUUUCCCUUUAGUUAAAAACCAUGUCAGCCGACUUCCCUUUCUGGUUGCAAUGAAGAAAAAUUUUGAGAGUAAAAAUUAUUAAAUGGAGAAAUCAUUUUCUAUGUUCCUUUUGAAAUAUGUAACAUUUCUUUAUUCUUUACAGGUGAAGAGGUUAAUAAGUUCAUCAAGUUUCCACUUCCGUGUACUGUACUCAUUUAAUCCUUAAACCAUAUGUCUUUACUCUCCUGGUUGUCGAAAAUUAUUAAAAGAGCUUUUUGAUGUUCGUGAUGUGACCUGAGAGGUUUGUGAAGAAGAGUUACAUCUAAGUAACAGCCUGUUGUUCAUGUCUAACAGCAGGAACGGUCGCCGGAGCCUUUUGCGCGCAGAGCAUUGGUGGACUAGGCACUCUAAAGCGAAAUGACGCUAAAGACUUUUCGUUUUGCUUGUAUGGCAUUAAUGAGCAUCACACCGACAGCUCCUAUGGUUAAGGAAAUUACUAACGCCUCAAAGGCAACCAUGCACUUCUUAUGGGUGAAUUUAUUUGUUUAUCACGUAAGCAAUAUAAUCAAAUACUUUUAUGCUUACAAGGUUUUAUUUUUUAAAAUCUAGAUGUAUAAUCAAAUUGGAUUUGAAAGGAUUCUAGUUAAAAAUAUAUACCGAAAGAACUACGCCUGGAAGCACGGAAUCGAAUUUCAUAUUUGAUUAGCAUUCCCGUGUGUUACGAUUGGAACUCUUAACUCUGCUGAGAGGGCCGCUGAUGUGCAGUUCUUAUACUGGGAAUUCCGGAGUGCUUGUGAAUUAACGCCGAUGAAAUUCCGAUCCUAGAGUUGGUAGUUUGCUUUUGAACAGGAUCGAAUUUCAUAUUUACGAUCUUUUAUUUUCCUGGUGAAUGAUUUUGUAUACAAUCUUUGUAUAUAUCGGGUUAUCAGAUGCAUUAGAAUGC